AUUUAGAUACCCUAAUUCCAUAUGUGACGUUUGAUUGACGAAAACUCGUCGUAUGACUAUAGUUUUGAUAGGGACCACCACUUAGACAUUAUAUGAAUUGAUGAUUCGACCAUUGGAUUGGCAUCAAACUUAAAUACGUAAUAGUACAUAAUAUUUGAGGAUAUUAAGAACUUAUGGAUUGGAAAGCUGGCGUACGGAUCUUCCCAAAUUGGAUUUCUAAGUUUGUAAAACCAAUUGUCGACCGCCACUUGAUUUAGUGAUUGGUGGAGAUCCGACCGUUGGAUUUCAAUGAAAUUGUAGUAUGUUAUUCUAGAAGUAUAAUGUGGACUUUGAAAAGUUACGGAUCAAAAAUCUGAAUGGUGGAUCUUCCGGUUUAGAUUUCUAGGUUUAUGGACCCUACUCUCGAUCUUGAUCAACAGUUGACUUUUUAGUCAACUAGACCGAGUUAUUCUAGUGUGUUGUUUAUCUUAGAGUGUUGUUGAGAUCUCAGGGAGCUUAUGGGCUCAUUGUGUUGACGCGUGUCUCGAUUUAUGUCUUAGUGGCACCAUAUUGAGUUAUACUUGUUUAUUAAAUGUGAUUUAUAUUGAAUUGUUAUUUUUAUUUUUAGCCAUCGAUCUAUGUUUAUUAAUUGUGAUUCGACCGUAGUUUGGAAACGUUUAUGAAAUGUGGUUUGAUUUGUAUGAUUGGUAUGAUGUGUAUGAUUGUUUUUAUGAUAAUGUGAACCUAGAAUCUUAUUAUGAGUAUUAUGUAAAACUUUUAUGCUUGUAUGAUAAGAUAGUUAGUGGUCAUGAAAAGUUGAUAGUGUAGGCGCCUACGUUGCAAAUCAUAGGGAUUGAGGUAAGAGUAGAUUGUGUGCUGAAUUGAUUGCACCAGGUAGCAGUGGUACUUAGAGGGUCAUGCUUGGCAUAUCUGCGAUGAAGGACCAUACGUAUUUUAAGGGUGAUCAUGCUUGGUAUAUCCGCGAUGGGUGAUCACCGCCUACAUGAUUAGACUAUGCCUAUGGUCCUGCUUGGAAUAUUUGCGAUGGGGGACCAUACAUAUUCUAGGAGUGAUCAUGUUUGGUAUAUCCGCGAUGGGUGAUCACUACCUAGAGUUAUAGGAUACAGUCUUGCUUGGUAUAUCCACGAUAAGGGACUGUUAGAGGUGAUCAUGCUUGGUAUAUCCACGAUAGUGGACCAUACGCAUUUUAGAAGUGAUCAGGCUUGGUAUAUUAUUGAUGGGUGAUCACUACCUAGAGUUAGGAUGUGCUCCUGCUUGGUAUAUCCGCGAUGA
rnacentral:lncRNA from 1 species